rnacentral:ncRNA from 1 species
UUGAGGACACCGUUAUGGGUCCUACAGAGUCGAUUUAUUUUUUAAAAAAUCAAUAUGACCGCUUGGAUCCAGAGGACCGAGACGGGAGU